CAAUAGUGACUUCUCCUUUUUUGACUGAUACAGUAUCCUAAUUACAAGGUUAUUUUGCACUCCAUGCCCAGCUAAUUAAAAAAAUGUUUUUUUGUAGAAACAGGGUCUUGCUAUGCAUGUGGAAUCUAAUUUUUUUGUAGAAACAGGGUUUUGCCCAGGCUGGUCUUGAACUCUUGGCCUCAAGUGAUCUUCCUGCCUCAGCCACCAAAGUAUUGGGAUUACAGGCGUGAGCCACCACAUUCAGCCUCUUAUCGCUUCAUUUUCUAAAAAGCAUGUCAUGUCGGCUGGGCGCGGUGGCUCACACCUGUAAUCC
rnacentral:lncRNA from 1 species